AGCGACCCCUCCCUUCUGCUUGAGGA
rnacentral:piRNA from 1 species